AGUGGGAGGAAGCUCACUACAGAGGUCACACACUGAGUGUUAAUCACUCACUCACCAUGAACCUUGGGGAAGGUCUGAGACAAGAGCCAAUUGCUGUCCUUGCAGGGCAUCACCUGGCGCAGGUGAGUGAGUACCCAGAGACGUUGGGCCUCAGUGGGAUGUCUUCAUAAGAGAAGUCAGUUAGUGUGAUUAGCCAGCACAGCUGAUGGAUAUGACACCACUGGCUUGGAAAUGCUCAUGGCUGGCAGCAGAGUUCAAUGUGUGAGCUGGAGUUCAGCUCCAGAACCCAAUUCAGACUACUCUCCUUCACACU
ensembl:ribozyme RNaseP_nuc Nuclear RNase P